ensembl:lncRNA
CUUGAAUUACAGAAGCAUUCCUCCAUGGCUACUCUUCUGUGAAUCCCGUGGUGGACUCACCUCAUCUGUCCAAGGCUAUGAUGUUUUAGGAGAGUUUCACCAUUGCUGAACAACGGAGACAGCCAGGAGCUCCUAAGUGCAAAGAGGUUGAUGGCUACAUCGCUCAUUCUGGAUGCUGCCAGAUCAUUCCCACCACCUGCCAUUGUGUUGUCUCCAGACAACGGCAGACAACCACAGAAGCUUCGAAGCCCUAAGGCUACUUGGAGAGAAGAAGACUGUCCCUGGCAAAGGUAGGUGAGUCUUGCUUAGGAUACCUAAUGAUUCACAAAAGACCACGAUGACUUGGAAUGAGGAGUAAUUAUGCUAUAGAGAGGUAGACAUCUGGCCCAGGGGAAAGGGCCCAGUAAAGUGGUCUGUGUUGUACAUCAGACCAGAAGUGGGGUAGGAAUGGGCUCUUGAAUGUCUCAGAAGGGUUUAAAGUAUGUUGUCUCUUCUAUUUGUUACUCUAUCACACUUUGUUCAUUUUUUGGUGUGUGUUCCCAUGAGUGCACACAUAGGGAACGUCACUGUUGGUGUCAUUCUCUUGAUUUCCAUGCUCUUUUUGAGGCAGGAUCUCUCCUGAGCCUGGUGCUCACUUUGGUACACAGACCAACAUGCUUCCGAGCUUCAAGAAAUCUUCCUGUCCCUGUCCCUCAAGUGAUGGAACUAUAGGCAUGCACUAACAUGCCAAGAUUUUUAUAUGCGUGCUAGGAACCUGAACUCAGGUCUUCAUGCUUAUAUAGCAAGCACUUUAAGCACACAGAGUUAUCUCCUCAGCCCCCAGUUCAAUUC